GCUUCGAUAUCAGCUGCCUCUCAGUUUCUCACUUCACUGCCUAAGCAUGGUUUUCGAUUCUUCCUUGUUGGUCUUGCAAUAUCUAAUCAACAACUAGCUCUUGUCAGGUUUGCCUUUUCUUCACACUUGAACUUCUUCCAUUUCUCUCAGAACACACAAUGGUAAGUGAGAGCAUGGGCUUCUACAUCGUUUCUGGUGACACUACAGACCACAAACAUGGUCUCCUGCUACAGAAGAACUACAACACAAGCUGGCCAGACCACAGAUAUCAAAAUGGUCUCGGGUGGCAGCAGAGGCCACCCACAUAAACAUGGCCCUAUUGUUAAGAUUCAAGUAACACCACAGUUCAGACACGUCCUCAGGAGCAAUGUUCACUGUUAACCUGUGUUUGGAGCACAGGAGCUCCUUUGACAAGCUCCCAGAGACUGGUAACAAGACCUCCUAGAUGGCCACGUUGCUAGGUAACAGUGUUUCCUUGGUCACGGUGAAUCCAUGGAAGACUCCUGUCCCCAAAGUAGCAGCAGAUUCUUGGUGGACAGUUCUCAUAUCCUUGGAAAUGCAUGAUAGAUUAUCUACAGGAAAAUAGCUUUUAUGAAGCAAGAAGAACUUUUGUUCCACUUCCCAGACAUGUUCAAAAGCACGAGUUUCACACUUUCUGCCUUCAAUAUUAUGCACAUCACGACUUCGUAAUAUACAGGAAUUAGUUGUGGCUUCCACUUACUGGCAGUAGUCCAGAGAAAAAUUCUUAGGGAGGGAGCUGAUGAAAUGACAGACUGCUCUGCUUCGGUCAUGUAUCUGCCGACUACACAUUUUAAUUAAACAGCUCUCGCUCUGCAGACAUGUUAUGAGGCUCAUAAAUUCAUGAUUGUAAAGGACACCACGGUCUUCUGAUGGAAGACACAGAGUCGGUCUGCUCCCGUCCUGUGGAGAAACUGAAUCCUGAGUC